GGUGAACCAGCUCCCCUCUCCCACCCUGCCUACCUAACCCGGCUGCACUCCCUGGAUGUAGAAAGCAGAAAGUGCGACCGGAUUGGGUAAGUUCGGGUGGGGAAUCAUC
rnacentral:pre_miRNA from 1 species